CAGUAGCCGCGGUAAUACGUAGGGUGCGAGCGUUAAUCGGAAUUACUGGGCGUAAAGCGUGCGCAGGCGGUUUUGUAAGACAGGCGUGAAAUCCCCGGGCUCAACCUGGGAAUGGCGCUUGUGACUGCAAAGCUAGAGUGCGGCAGAGGGGGAUGGAAUUCCGCGUGUAGCAGUGAAAUGCGUAGAGAUGUGGAGGAAUACCGAUGGCGAAGGCAGCCCCCUGGGAUAACACUGACGUUCAUGCUCGAAAGCGUGGGUAGCAAACAGGAUUAGAUACCCCAGUAGUCCCUGUCUCUUAUAC
rnacentral:rRNA from 1 species